rnacentral:rRNA from 1 species
UACGUAGGGUGCGAGCGUUAAUCGGAAUUACUGGGCGUAAAGCGUGCGCAGACGGUUCGUUAAGUCAGAUGUGAAAGCCCCGGGCUCAACCUGGGAACUGCAUUUGAAACUGGCGGGCUUGAGUAUGGCAGAGGGGGGUGGAAUUCCGCGUGUAGCAGUGAAAUGCGUAGAGAUGCGGAGGAACACCGAUGGCGAAGGCAGCCCCCUGGGCCAAUACUGACGCUCAUGCACGAAAGCGUGGGGAGCAAACAGG